UCCCUGGUGGUCCAGUGGUUAGGCCUUGGCACUUUCACUGUUGGGGCCUGGGUUUGAUCCCUGGUUGGGGAA
rnacentral:tRNA from 1 species